AAUGUGAUGAUAUGCAUCUUCUUUCCCCAUCCUAAGUGUUUUGAAGGAAUAUGAAGAUUCUGACUCGGAUGUUUUGCAUUAUAUUUUGAAAAGUAUUAGCAGUUUCUAUCAUGGUAUUCAUCUUCCAGAUGAUUGACUGAUGAACCUCAGAAGGAAACUAAUCUACAGGCAACAAUAGGAAACUAGUCCACAGAAAAUUAUGGUCAAAAUGGGGAAUUAGAUGGCAAGAAAACCAAAAAAGGUAACCAAUGAUGGUGCAAGGAAAUCCACUCCUCCAUAUUGCCAUUAAAACUUUCAGUGCAGUACAAAAUGGAGACAUUAUUUUUGGGUUGCCUAGAAGGUGGCCAUGGGUGAACACCAUUGUCAUCAUAUUUGAUAUGAAAUUAAUGAACAUCAUGUUGAUGAAAUUGAUCCAGGGAAAAGGAGCUUUACAAAAGGUAGCCAAUGAUACUCAAGGAAAUUCACUCCACCAUAGUGCCAGUAAAAGUUUAGAUGCACUGUAAAAUGGGUGAAAAACCUUUUUUGGUUCUGUGGAAGUUGGCAAUGAGUGAAUAAGAUUAUCCUCUUAAAUUAUACAAAAGCAGAAACUUGUUCCAGUGAAGAGAUUCUACAAAGAAAGUGUUUCAGAGACUUGAUGUGUAAACUUGAGAUAUAGGAAACCAGUGUAUUAAGAGUAAUGAUACCCAGUGAUACUUCAAAGAAGUCCAACUACUCAUUUCAGUAAAGCUCAGUCCAGUACAAAUAGAAAAGAAUAGUUUUGGUUGGUCUUCAAGAUGACCUUGGGUGUCAACAGGAUUGUCAUCUUAUUUAACUUGAAAUUUAAGAAACAGUACAAGUUGAUGAAGUUGAUCCUGUGAAAAGGGAAGAUUCUACAAAAAAAAAAAUAGG